AACCGUCUCUUCGAGUGGCCGACGUGUUUAUUGGGCCUAAAGCGUCCGUAGGCGGACUAGUCCGUCCCACAUUAAAUACGGCAACUUAAUUGUCUGAACUGUGUGGGAAACUGCUAGUCUUGGCAAUGGGAGAGGUAAGCCGUACGGCCGGAGUAAGGGUGAAAUCUUAUAAUCCCGGUCGGACGACCGAUGGCGAAGGCAGCUUACUGGAACAUGUGCGACGCUGAUGGACGAAAGCCAGGGGAGUGAGUCGG
rnacentral:rRNA from 1 species